rnacentral:rRNA from 1 species
AACGAACGCUGGCGGCAUGCCUAACACAUGCAAGUCGAACGAAGCCUUCGGGCUUAGUGGCGCACGGGUGCGUAACGCGUGGGAAUCUGCCCUUGGGUUCGGAAUAACAGUUAGAAAUGACUGCUAAUACCGGAUGAUGUCUUCGGAUCAAAGAUUUAUCGCCCAAGGAUGAGCCCGCGUAGGAUGAGGUAGUUGGAGGGGUAAUGGCCCACCAAGCCGACGAUCCUUAGCUGGUCUGAGAGGAUGAUCAGCCACACUGGGACUGAGACACGGCCCAGACUCCUACGGGAGGCAGCAGUGGGGAAUAUUGGACAAUGGGCGAAAGCCUGAUCCAGCAAUGCCGCGUGAGUGAUGAAGGCCUUAGGGUUGUAAAGCUCUUUUACCAGGGAUGAUAAUGACAGUACCUGGAGAAUAAGCUCCGGCUAACUCCGUGCCAGCCGCCGCAGUAAGAC